UGCUCUCUGGAGAGGUGGUUUAAAGUG
rnacentral:piRNA from 1 species